UCAUGAACAACUUACAGGCAACAGCUGAAGUUCCAAAUAAGAGCAUAAUUUGCAACUACCAGAGAAGUACAGCAUGGGCGUGAGUCAACAGCAGUUCAGCAAAUGUAAUGUGAGGACUGUGAAGAGGAGUUAAAUUAAGCAACUUCUGAAAACCCUGAGUGAGCUGUUUCCUUCCAAGAUAUUAUACUUUAAUAACACCAUAGCUGCCAUCUAGAGGAAUGAUAUUCAAAGAUGUUACUAAUACAGGCAUAAAUCCUGCAUAUUUGUGUUAAAAUCAUAUUCACCUAGGCAGAGAUCUGAUGUGUUUUGUAAUAUACUAUCUGAACCUAUCAUUUUUGAAAUGAUAUAUCAGACUGAGCAGAAAGUAAAAG
rnacentral:lncRNA from 1 species